GUAGGAUGGCUGAGAUAGGCAAUAAACUGUAAAUUUAUUUACGAAUAAUUAAAUUCUUUUACCA
rnacentral:tRNA from 1 species